rnacentral:rRNA from 1 species
CCUUAGAGUUUGAUUAUGGCUCAGGAUGAACGCUGGCGGCGUGCCUAACACAUGCAAGUCGAGCGGGAAGCUGAUGAUUGAAACUUCGGUAGAUUGAUUCAGUGGAGAGCGGCGGACGGGUGAGUAACGCGUAGGCAACCUGCCCCUUACACAGGGAUAGCCACUGGAAACGGUGAUUAAAACCUGAUGAUACCAUGAAUUCACAUGUUUUUAUGGUCAAAGAUUUAUCGGUAAGGGAUGGGCCUGCGUCUGAUUAGCUAGUUGGUGAGGUAACGGCCCACCAAGGCAACGAUCAGUAGCCGACCUGAGAGGGUGAUCGGCCACAUUGGGACUGAGACACGGUCCAAACUCCUACGGGAGGCAGCAGUGGGGAAUAUUGCACAAUGGGCGAAAGCCUGAUGCAGCAACGCCGCGUGAAGGAUGAAGGCCUUCGGGUUGUAAACUUCUGUCCUUGGGGAAGAUAAUGACGGUACCCUUGGAGGAAGCCCCGGCUAACUACGUGCCAGCAGCCGCGGUAAUACGUAGGGGGCGAGCGUUAUCCGGAAUUAUUGGGCGUAAAGAGUGCGUAGGUGGUUACCUAAGCAGGGGGUGAAAGGCAUUGGCCUAACCAAUGUUAGCCCCCUGAACUGGGCUACUUGAGUGCAGGAGGGGAAAGUGGAAUUCCUAGUGUAGCGGUGAAAUGCGUAGAUAUUAGGAGGAACACCAGUGGCGAAGGCGACUUUCUGGACUGUUACUGACACUGAGGCACGAAAGUGUGGGGAGCAAACAGGAUUAGAUACCCUGGUAGUCCACACCGUAAACGAUGAGCACUAGUUGUUGGGUCCGAAUGGAUUCAGUGACGCAGUUAACGCAAUAAGUGCUCCGCCUGGGGAGUACGUUCGCAAGAAUAAAACUCAAAGGAAUUGACGGGGACCCGCACAAGCAGUGGAUUAUGUGGUUUAAUUCGAAGCAACGCGAAGAACCUUACCAGCACUUGACAUCCAACUAACGAAGUAGAGAUACAUUAGGUGCCCCUCGGGGAAAGUUGAGACAGGUGGUGCAUGGUUGUCGUCAGCUCGUGUCGUGAGAUGUUGGGUUAAGUCCCGCCACGAGCGCAACCCUUGCCAUUAGUUGCUACGCAAGAGCACUCUAAUGGGACCGCUACCGAUAAGGUGGAGGAAGGUGGGGAUGACGUCAAAUCAUCAUGCCCCUUACGUGCUGGGCUACACACGUAAUACAAUGGUCGUUAACAAAGAGAAGCAAUACAGCGAUGUGGAGCAAAUCUCCAAAAACGAUCUCAGUUCGGACUGCAGGCUGAAACCCGCCUGCACGAAGUUGGAAUUGCUAGUAAUCGCGGAUCAGCAUGCCGCGGUGAAUACGUUCCCGGGUCU